GAUGAACGCUGGCGGCGUGCUUAACACAUGCAAGUCGAACGGAAAGGCCCAAGCUUGCUUGGGUACUCGAGUGGCGAACGGGUGAGUAACACGUGGGUGAUCUGCCCUGCACUUCGGGAUAAGCCUGGGAAACUGGGUCUAAUACCGGAUAGGACGAUGGUUUGGAUGCCAUUGUGGAAAGUUUUUUCGGUGUGGGAUGAGCUCGCGGCCUAUCAGCUUGUUGGAGGGGUAAUGGCCUACCAAGGCGUCGACGGGUAGCCGGCCUGAGAGGGUGUACGGCCACAUUGGGACUGAGAUACGGCCCAGACUCCUACGGGAGGCAGCAGUGGGGAAUAUUGCACAAUGGGCGCAAGCCUGAUGCAGCGACGCCGCGUGGGGGAUGACGGCCUUCGGGUUGUAAACUCCUUUCGCUAGGGACGAAGCGUUUUGUGACGGUACCUGGAGAAGAAGCACCGGCUAACUACGUG
rnacentral:rRNA from 1 species